rnacentral:rRNA from 1 species
AACCCAAUGUGAACGUUACCAAACUGUUGCCUCGGCGGGAUCUCUGCCCCGGGUGCGUCGCAGCCCCGGACCAAGGCGCCCGCCGGAGGACCAACCAAAACUCUUUUUGUAUACCCCCUCGCGGGUUUUUUAUAAUCUGAGCCUUCUCGGCGCCUCUCGUAGGCGUUUCGAAAAUGAAUCAAAACUUUCAACAACGGAUCUCUUGGUUCUGGCAUCGAUGAAGAACGCAGCGAAAUGCGAUAAGUAAUGUGAAUUGCAGAAUUCAGUGAAUCAUCGAAUCUUUGAACGCACAUUGCGCCCGCCAGUAUUCUGGCGGGCAUGCCUGUCCGAGCGUCAUUUCAACCCUCGAACCCCUCCGGGGGGUCGGCGUUGGGGAUCGGCCCUGCCUUGGCGGUGGCCGUCUCCGAAAUACAGUGGCGGUCUCGCCGCAGCCUCUCCUGCGCAGUAGUUUGCACACUCGCAUCGGGAGCGCGGCGCGUCCACAGCCGUUAAACACCCAACUUCUGAAAUGUGACCUCGAUCAGUAGAUC